UAGCUCGAGUUUCUCUUCAUCUAGGUAUAAAUCAUUCGCCUUUUACUAAAGAUUUCUGUGGAGGGGGACCACUGUGAGUUUGUUGUAUUUUUCGGGGCUCUGCUUAGAUCAGAAAA